GUUCAGUAAAUUUUUUAUUGUUGUUGUUGCUGUUGUUGUUGUUGUUUUCAAUCUUUUGAACAAAUCCAAUGAAGAGUGUUAGCAAAAAGGUGUCCUUUUCCAGUCAUGCAUUGAAAUUAUAUGAAAUAAGAUCAAGAAUGCUCAGGUAUACAACAAUAUAGUGCUGAUUGUCUUUAUAUAAUGAAUUCCCUUUGUUUGUUGGGUAAUAUAUUAUAUACUGUACAUGUUUACUGUACAUACUAUUACAGUAAUUUGAUACUAUGAAGCAUAUCUUGAUCAUUUAUUGCAUUUAAACAAACAAAAAAAAAACGUUUACACUAUCUCCUCUUUACCUCAAACGUAGUGGAUCUCCAAGUCAUAUCGCACAUAAUUACACACUUUCUUCAAACCAGCUCCGGUUCCGUAUCUCUGUAUGGUUUCUGACCCCGUUUGAAACACUGUUAUUUAUAAAAAUGGGGAAGUGUACAUAACAUUUUUUCAUUACAAAUCUCACUAUCCAAUGUCACCCAAAAGAGAUUUUUUUUUUUCAGACUGGUCCUUUUUAGGUUAUUUCCUCAUGAAGUCACAGGAAUUUUACCUUGUCGCUGUAGCCUCUGUUUUGAUCAUUGGGGAUGUAAAUAUGUACAUCUGGAUUUUUGUAAAGCUGCUUUUUGACAGUGUCUCUCAUUAAAAGUGCUAUACAAAUAAAAUUAAAAUUAACUUAAGGCAAAAAAAAAUGUCUCUUGGAGCUGGUGUCACUUUGAACAAACAUCAGUGUCAUGUACUGUAGGAGUUUGAAGGGAGAAUUAAAUAUUAGUAGUGAUUCUGAUAAAGAAAAUGCCUCCAAUUUGAUUUAUGUAUAGAUUUGGUUGACUUAUUCUGUGAUUUUUGAAAAUUGUUUAUGUUCAAAUGACUUUUUGACUGAUGCAAAUAAUGUCUUUUAAGGCAUGUGUGUGAUGAUUUAUACAAGCAGCUAUACUGUAAGCUUAACUUACUUGUUAGCUAACAAGCCUAAUUAGCCUAAUUUCUCUUGCACAAAAUUAAAGAAAAAAACUUCAUACGCCAGACAUGUCUUAGCUGAACAAGUCUACAUUUCAUUUUAGCCAAAGUAUUUCACUUUUUUUAAUUUCACAAGUAAUUCUGCUUAUAAAUAAGCAACUUAUUUAUAAUUAAAAACAGAAAACAAAAAACAAAACAAAAACAUAUAUACAGUACUUAUAUAUGAUAUGGCUGUAGGUUUCAGUUCCUUUUCAGAUCACAUGUAUACUGGGGACCUGCUUGACCUUUGUUCCUUUACAUUCUCCAGAAAUGAAUUAGGUCUUCAUCUUCCAUAACUUUGGUUUAAAGAAUUUUGCCUUUUUCUGCAGAAUCAGUACAAGAAGAAACACAGGAUUAAUUCAGAAUUUCUGAUAACCACAUCAAUAACAUACUAAAUUGCAGAUCAUUUGAUAAUGAGGAAUUUACCUGUAAGAGUGUGCUUGUUAAGAGACGGAAAGUUUUAAACUUAAUAGUCUCUGGGAAUUCCCAGGGGUUUUUUUUUGUGUGUUUUUUUUUAUAUUUAGGAACUAAUAGUUUUUUCUUAUCCUGGUUGCCAGAUUGAUAAGAUCUAAAAUACUGACCUUCUCAUUACCAGGAACAGGUGUUUGGGAAUCUUUGGCAUCAUUGGACCUUGGUAAAUGAUUAAAUUCAGAGGAGGUAAAGACAGAAGGAUGUAAAGAAGGGCGAGACUGAACGGACUUUGAGGCACUGCGUGGGCGAAUAAUGUUUAUAGUGGAGAACUUCAUUUUGGCAUUUUCUGAAAUUACUUUUUCUUUUUCCUGGAGGUCGAUGUUUUCUUUUUUUGCUCAACUGGAUGCGAUUCUUCAGAGCAGAAUUGUCUAGCACUCCUGAUGACUUUGUAAAAGAGAGUAAGAAAUACUUAUAAUAGUGUAUUUACUAAAUUGUGAUACUACUAUAAUUUGUAUCUUCUUAUCAAAACCAUAUGACUAAUUAGUGGACACUUAGUAAAAUCAUACAUCUCAUAUAUGUAUUUCUUACACAAAACCUAUUUCCACAUCACAAAUAAUACUGGCAUCUUAUAUGCAAACGAAGAGACAUUACAACCCAACUUACUCCUCACCUUGACAACAGAGAAAUCAAGGGGCAAAUCCAUCAACUCUGCCUUGUUUGAUAGCUGAUCAAACACUUCUGCAUUGUCAUAAUCAUUGCCAUAGGAUUCUGGCAUUUCUGAUAUCCUUUGAAGUACUGCAGCAUUUCCUACUUGUGCCUUGGGAAACGGGGGGGGGGGGGGGGGGGUGUUUGUUUAGUUUUUUUUUUUUGUUUUUGUUUUUAUCAGUGAUGCAGUUGGUCCAGUUGAGCUCCUUUGCUCAGUAGAGAGAGUCAGACUGAUAAGAUCUGGAUGUACUCACCUUCUCAUUACCGAGUACAGCUGUAUGGGAAUCUUCGUGUGUCUGGGAGUUAUUGGAUUCUGAACAUGGUAAAGCAUAAAAUUUGGAGGAGGCAAAAACAGAAGCAUAUGAAGAAGUAGGGGAAUCAGAGGACUCUGAUGGCGAGGCACUGCGUUGGUGAAAAAAGCCCUUAAUGAAAUUUCCUAAAAUAUGCAGAGAGAAAGAACUUCGUUAGAUUCUUCCAUUUUUUCAAGCUCCAGUCACGUCCACACACACACACACACACACACACACACACACACACACACACACACACACACACACACACACACAUACCUGUUAAUGCAUUUCACUUCCACUUCUACUGUUCUACUGAUUUAUAGUUCUGAGUUUGUCACCUUUUUUACUCUUUCGUGGUAGUCGAUGUUUUCUUUUUUUGCUCAGUUGGAUUCGACUCUUCAGUGCAGAAUUGUCUAGUAAUCCAGAUGACUUUGUAAAAGACAAAGGGCGAUGUCUCUGUUAGAAUGUUGAAUUCCUUCUGAUAUUACAAUAAUUGUUCUUAUUUUUAAUUAUUUUUUUUUU
ensembl:lncRNA